rnacentral:tRNA from 5 species
GCGGAUGUAGCUCAGCUGGUAGAGCACCACCUUGCCAAGGUGGGGGUCGCGGGUUCGAAUCCCGUCAUCCGCUCGA